CCCUUGUCCUUAGUUACCAGCACGUUAUGGUGGGCACUCUAAGGAGACUGCCGGUGACAAACCCGGAGGAAGGUGGGGAUGACGUCAAGUCAUCAUGGCCCUUACGGCCUGGGCUACACACGUGCUACAAUGGUCGGUACAAAGGGUUGCCAAGCCGCGAGGUGGAGCUAAUCCCAUAAAACCGAUCGUAGUCCGGAUCGCAGUCUGCAACUCGACUGCGUGAAGUCGGAAUCGCUAGUAAUCGUGAAUCAGAAUGUCACGGUGAAUACGUUCCCGGGCCUU
rnacentral:rRNA from 1 species